rnacentral:rRNA from 1 species
CCUACGGGAGGCAGCAGUGAGGAAUAUUGGUCAAUGGACGAGAGUCUGAACCAGCCAAGUAGCGUGAAGGAUGACUGCCCUAUGGUUUGUAAACUUCUUUUAUAAAGGAAUAAAACGAGGCACGUGUGCCUUUUUGCAUGUACUUUAUGAAUAAGGAUCGGCUAACUCCGUGCCAGCAGCCGCGGUAAUACGGAGGAUCCGAGCGUUAUCCGGAUUUAUUGGGUUUAAAGGGAGCGUAGAUGGGUUGUUAAGUCAGUUGUGAAAGUUUGCGGCUCAACCGUAAAAUUGCAAUUGAUACUGGCAGUCUUGAGUACAGUUGAGGUAGGCGGAAUUCGUGGUGUAGCGGUGAAAUGCGUAGAUAUAACGAAGAACCCCGAUUGCGAAGGCAGCUUACUAAACUGUGACUGACAUUGAUGCUCGAAAGUGUGGGUAGCAAACAGGAUUAGAUACCCUGGUAGUC